AUCCAGCUGAUGAGUCCCAAUUAGGACGAAACACGGGUUCUGGAU
rfam:Schistosoma rodhaini strain Burundi genome assembly, scaffold: SROB_scaffold0009390